rnacentral:rRNA from 1 species
AUUGAACGCUGGCGGCAGGCCUAACACAUGCAAGUCGAAUGGUAACAGGAAACAGCUUGCUGUUUCGCUGACGAGUGGCGGACGGGUGAGUAAUGUCUGGGAAACUGCCUGAUGGAGGGGGAUAACUACUGGAAACGGUAGCUAAUACCGCAUAACGUCGCAAGACCAAAGAGGGGGACCUUCGGGCCUCUUGCCAUCAGGUGUGCCCAGAUGGGAUUAGCUAGUAGGUGGGGUAACGGCUCACCUAGGCGACGAUCCCUAGCUGGUCUGAGAGGAUGACCAGCCACACUGGAACUGAGACACGGUCCAGACUCCUACGGGAGGCAGCAGUGGGGAAUAUUGCACAAUGGGCGCAGGCCUGAUGCAGCCAUGCCGCGUGUAUGAAGAAGGCCUUCGGGUUGUAAAGUACUUUCAGCGGGGAGGAAGGGAGUAAAGUUAAUACCUUUGCUCAUUGACGUUACCCGCAGAAGAAGCACCGGCUAACUCCGUG